AUUAGAGUUUGAUCCUGGCUCAGGACGAACGCUGGCGGCGUGCCUAACACAUGCAAGUCGAACGGAAACAGCUUAAAGCUUGCUUUGAACUGUUUUAGUGGCGGACGGGUGGGUAACGCGUGAGGAACCUGCCUUUCAGAGGGGGAUAACGUCUGGAAACGGACGCUAAUACCGCAUGACAUACCGAGGUCGCAUGGCUUUGGUAUCAAAGGAGCAAUCCGCUGAGAGAUGGACUCGCGUCCGAUUAGCCAGUUGGCGGGGUAACGGCCCACCAAAGCGACGAUCGGUAGCCGGGCUGAGAGGCUGAACGGCCACAUUGGGACUGAGACACGGCCCAGACUCCUACGGGAGGCAGCAGUGGGGGAUAUUGCACAAUGGAGGAAACUCUGAUGCAGCAACGCCGCGUGAGGGAAGAAGGUUCUCGGAUUGUAAACCUCUGUCCUCAGGGACGAUAAUGACGGUACCUGAGGAGGAAGCUCCGGCUAACUACGUGCCAGCAGCCGCGGUAAUAAU
rnacentral:rRNA from 1 species